rnacentral:rRNA from 1 species
GGGGGCCCGCACAAGCGGCGGAGCAUGCGGAUUAAUUCGAUGCAACGCGAAGAACCUUACCAAGGCUUGACAUGGACUGGAAAUACCUGGAAACAGGUGCCCCGCUUGCGGUCGGUUCACAGGUGGUGCAUGGUUGUCGUCAGCUCGUGUCGUGAGAUGUCGGGUUAAGUCCCGCAACGAGCGCAACCCUCGUUCUAUGUUGCCAGCGCGUUAUGGCGGGGACUCAUAGGAGACUGCCGGGGUCAACUCGGAGGAAGGUGGGGACGACGUCAAAUCAUCAUGCCCCUUAUGUCUUGGGCUUCACGCAUGCUACAAUGGCCGGUACAAAGGGUUGCGAUACUGUGAGGUGGAGCUAAUCCCAAAAAGCCGGUCUCAGUUCGGAUUGGGGUCUGCAACUCGACCCCAUGAAGUCGGAGUCGCUAGUAAUCGCAGAUCAGCAACGCUGCGGUGAAUACGUUCCCGGGCCUUGUACACACCGCCCGUCAAUUCAUUUAAGUUU